CCUACGGGUGGCAGCAGUAGGGAAUAUUGCUCAAUGGGGGAAACCCUGAAGCAGCAACGCCGCGUGGAGGAUGAAGGUUUUAGGAUUGUAAACUCCUUUUGUUAGAGAAGAUUAUGACGGUAUCUAACGAAUAAGCACCGGCUAACUCCGUGCCAGCAGCCGCGGUAAUACGGAGGGUGCAAGCGUUACUCGGAAUCACUGGGCGUAAAGAGUGCGUAGGCGGGGUAAUAAGUCAGAUGUGAAAUCCUGUAGCUUAACUACAGAACUGCAUUUGAAACUGUUACUCUGGAGUGUGGGAGAGGUAGGUGGAAUUCUUGGUGUAGGGGUAAAAUCCGUAGAGAUCAAGAGGAAUACUCAUUGCGAAGGCAUCUCACGAAUCCGCGAUUGACGCUGAUGCACGAAAGCGUGGGUAUCAAACAGGAUUAGAUACCCCUGUAGUC
rnacentral:rRNA from 1 species